rnacentral:rRNA from 1 species
AGUGAACGCUGGCGGUAGGCCUAACACAUGCAAGUCGAACGGCAGCACAGUAAGGGCUUGCUCUUACGGGUGGCGAGUGGCGGACGGGUGAGGAAUACAUCGGAAUCUACUUUUUCGUGGGGGAUAACGUAGGGAAACUUACGCUACUACCGCAUACGACCUACGGGUGAAAGCAGGGGAUCUUCGGACCUUGCGCGAUUGAAUGAGCCGAUGUCGGAUUAGGUAGUUGGCGGGGUAAAGGCCAACCAAGGCGACGAUCCGUAGCUGGUCUGAGAGGAUGAUCAGCCACACUGGAACUGAGACACGGUCCAGACUCCUACGGGAGGCAGCAGUGGGGAAUAUUGGACAAUGGGCGCAAGCCUGAUCCAGCCAUACCGCGUGGGUGAAGAAGGCCUUCGGGUUGUAAAGCCCUUUUGUUGGGAAAGAAAAGCAGCAGGUUAAUACCCCGCUGUUCUGACGGUACCCAAAGAAUAAGCACCGGCUAACUUCGUG